GGGCUACACAGUCGAGCUGAAUCCGUACAGUGAAGUGUUUGUCCCCGAUGCUGCUCCUCUCCGCGGUGCUGAGGACGUCGCCGAGGCGACGAGUUACCUGGAGCAUCGUGUUCACGAGUCCGAGCCGGCCAACACGCAGCGCAGCGGCCAGCGCGGGCUGACUUUAAUAAAUACGGCUGCACAUCUAUUGGGACGUGACUUAUUGUCCAACCAUUUAUUGCAUCAAACAAGUAAUAAUAUAUAUGUGCUGUUGUCUGCUGCUGCUCCAGUUUGUCGAGGAGUCAAAGGUUUAUUUGUCACACAAACAGUGUGGCCUCCAAAGGCUGCAAAACCGGUGGAAGGUAAGAAAAAAGGAUGGAAAUGUAAAAGUAAACGUGUGAAAUGCAUUUACACGCUUGAGUGUUUCUAAAAUCCACAUUACAGACUACAUCUGAACAGGUCUGGGGCGCGUUCACACUGGAAAAGAGUCAAAAUCAAGUUUACCCAGCACAGUCAGUACGCAGACUGCUGCCGAGGCGUAACCGUCUCCCGAAGGCCCCGACUGUCUGAGCGCCAAACAAACAUGGACGCCGUUUAAUGUAAUUAACCGCUGAUUUAAUGGACGCUGCAGCCGUAAACACUGACUCUUUCUCCAUCACAAGACCUUUCAUCUCUGGAAAAACCUUCUGACGUGUGUUUGUUUCCAUCAGUGCACGUAUUGUAUCACUUCCUAUUGCCGUAAAAUUAAUAAUAAAACUGUUUUGUUUC